rnacentral:rRNA from 1 species
UACGAAGGGGGCUAGCGUUACUCGGAUUGACUGGGCGUAAAGGGCGCGUAGGCGGUUCGUACAGUCAGACGUGAAAUUCCUGGGCUCAACCUGGGGGCUGCGUUUUGAUACGUGCGGGCUUGAGUUCGGAAGAGGGUCGUGGAAUUCCCAGUGUAGAGGUGAAAUUCGUAGAUAUUGGGAAGAACACCGGUGGCGAAGGCGGCGACCUGGUCCGAUACUGACGCUGAGGCGCGAAAGCGUGGGGAGCAAACAGG